rnacentral:rRNA from 1 species
AUCAGACCUCUAAUCGGAAAAGACUACCCGCUGAGUUAAA